CAUCAAAAGACACAGGAGGGAAGAGGAGAGAAAGCAAUUAGUUAAGCUCAAUGUUUCCUGGGAGAUAGUGAAACAAAUACUGCUGGUGACAGAAUAAAUAAUAAAAAAAAAAAAAGGAGUCUGUGUAGCUUCGAAUUGUUUUUUUUGUCUGUUCACUUAAUAAAUCCCCCGUCCAAGAUUUGCUCUGACUCAAUGCUUUACGAAUUGUGUCCAGCGAGGUUGCACACACACAAACGGGCUUGCUGUAUGCACAAUGACACUAAUUCGCCGCCUAAAUGGCCGUUGUCAGUUCUGUUCAUUUUUAUUUCAGGCCUCAUGCUUUCUGGCAUUAAAGAAAACACGGUUCAAAAAGCUUCUGAAGCUCCUGUAGUUAUCUUCAACAGCUUUCACAGCUCCCUGUGAAAUUUUCACUUGGUAUGAAGUUACACUUUUUUUCCUUCACUUCGCGUCAUUCCAUGUCUCUUAUGAGAAUCAGAAAGGGUUAUUUUAGGCCGUCUCGUCUCACUCUCUCCUUCUCUCUACAGCUGAGAGCAAAGAGCACCCACUCGGCUGUUUACAGGAAGUGCUCCCGCACAUACACAACGUCAACACUGUCAAGCUCUCCCCGUGCUGCUUAGCAACUGGCUAAAGGAGGAUUUUGGAGGUGGAGGGUGAGCUGAUAGGAGGGGGAGAAACGUGGCAGAGGGAAAGAGACAUGGAGAGUUCGCAGUUUGCCUUCACUGGUCGCAGUCUGCUUCAAUGUGCAGCUGCCUGUUUGCAGAAGAGGGAAGCAAGUGGGAAGAGAUGGGUUGAAGAGUUCAUAUCCAUGGACUCUUGUGCUGUCUAAAUGUGCUAGUCAGCGAUGAGAGAGACAAUGCACAUCACAUCCUCCUCCUUAACAACACAUUACACAUUCUAAGUAGAUUGUGAAAUGCAGGUCAUUGCAUCCACCACUGACUGACUUCAUUAAGCUGUAAAUUAAGCGGUAAAGUCAAUCCACAGAUGAUGUGCGCUAGGAUAUUAAAAUAAUAAGAGUUACAAUCUGCUAAUGUGGCAAAUAUCUCUUUGUAGGAUUGUGUCUGGUGUCUUCUUUCAGUUCACUGGCCACUUUAUGAGGUGCUGGAAACAUUCAGAGAUUUUGAUCCAUAUUGACAUGAUGGCAUCACACAGCUGCGUUCUCCUACUGGAAGCAGCUCAAAGGAUAGGGACGCACUGUGGUCAUAAAGAGGUGGACAUGGUCAGCAACAAUAAUCAUGAAGGCUUUGGUGUUUAAACAAUGCUCAGAUGAUAGAUCCUAGAUAGAUUCUUUUUUGACCUCACCACCCAAAUGUAGCUGCAGAGAGCAAGAGUCAUCAAACCAGGCAAUGUUUUUGUAGUCUUCUAUUGCUCAAUUUUGUUGAACCUUUGCAAGCUGUAGCCUCACUAUCCUGUUUUUACCUGACUUCAGUGCUGUAGCCCAUCUACAAGGCUCAAUGUACAUUCAGAGAUGCUCUUAUUCAUAUUUUGGUUGUAACAAGUGGUUUUUGAGUUACUGUUGCCUUCCUAUCAGCUCAAAGUGGUCUGGUCAUUCCCCUCUGACCUCUGACAUCGACAACCAUGGCAUAGUUCAACAAGUCACUUAAAUCACCUUUCUUCACCAAUCACAUGGCAGCAGCCUAAUGCAUUUAGGCUUGUAGACAUGGUAAGACAAUCUGCUAACAUUCAAACCAACAGAAUGGUGGUCAAAUAUAGAGGAACUGAACAUGUGUUCCAAUUAAAGGGUGUAAGUAUAUUUGGAUUGUUGGUACAAAUGGUUCUCUCUUUAGAUAGAAUGGGUUGAUAAAUGAUAAAGGGCAUAAUUUCAGUGUUUUCACUAUAAAUAUUUCCAAACAUUGUGAGACAGUCUCCUCAUCCUCAGGUUAGUAGAAGUAGGAGGAAGAAGAGUCAUGAUUAAAAUGCAAAUGUACAUUAAGAUGGAAAACUGCUCAUCUGAAAGUACAGGUUUAAGCAAUAAUAUAUAACAUGCGUCACUACUCUUGUUUGUGUAAACAAAAACUCAAACUCUCAAGCUGGGAAACUGUUACUAGUAAUUGAUGCUAAUUCAUUUGCUGCUUGACUGGGGGCAAAUGUCUCAUUUGUUACAAUUGGACUGCUUCAGUUCUUCCUGUUUUGCAUCUCUUUGUCGUGUUUUAAGUAGGAGGGCCAAGGAGGAAAUUGCAAAGUGAGAAAAACUGAGAGGAUAAAUCAGAAAAAUGAGAUGCAGCUCAUGUCUGACUCACUCAAAAUGCCUGGCAUCCAUCCAUCCAUCCAUCCACCAUCCAUCACGCUCACCAGAAAGCACUGAGUGAUACACCUGUUGAACUGCUUGUUAACACAAACAUCUAAUCAGCCAUCAACACUGCAGCAACGAUCACCCGAUCUCAAUCCAAUGGAGCACCUUUGGGAGGUGGUGGAAACAGAAAAUCUGCAGCAGCUGGGCGAUGCCAUCAUCAUCAUGACAGGAGGAUUGUUUGUACACCGGAACAGCGGUCUACUCUCGAUUACAGAACAGUGUGCAACAUCCAGUCGUCACCCUGCAACACGAAUCGUACAAAAAAAAAAA